rnacentral:rRNA from 1 species
CCUACGGGAGGCAGCAGUGGGGAAUAUUGCACAAUGGGCGCAAGCCUGAUGCAGCGACGCCGCGUGCGGGAUGACGGCCUUAGGGUUGUAAACCGCUUUCAGCAGGGACGAAAUUGACGGUACCUGCAGAAGAAGCCCCGGCCAACUACGUGCCAGCAGCCGCGGUAAUACGUAGGGGGCAAGCGUUGUCCGGAUUUAUUGGGCGUAAAGAGCUCGUAGGCGGUCUGGUAAGUCGGAUGUGAAAUCUCCACGCUUAACGUGGAGGGGUCAUUCGAAACUGCCAUGGCUAGAGUUUGGUAGAGGAGUGCGGAACUCCCGGUGUAGCGGUGAAAUGCGCAGAUAUCGGGAAGAACACCCGUAGCGAAGGCGGCACUCUGGGCCAAUACUGACGCUGAGGAGCGAAAGCGUGGGGAGCAAACAGGAUUAGAUACCCUGGUAGUCCACGCCGUAAACGUUGGGCACUAGGUGUGGGACUCUAUCGACGGGUUCCGUGCCGUAGCUAACGCAUUAAGUGCCCCGCCUGGGGAGUCGGCCGCAAGGCUAAAACUCAAAUGAAUUGACGG